AGUGAAAGAGAUCUUUGGUUUUGCCUUUGCUGACUGCUGAUCUGAUCAUCUCAAGUCUGGUGACCUGCUGCAGAAAACCCUCUCCCUCUAUCAUUAACAAGCAAUUCAGUCUGUCCUAUCACUCUCCCUCUCCCUGCUCCAUCUUUUUUGACAAGCCAUUCUAUCUUCUAUCAUUUCUCCGCCAUGAGCUCUAUCUAAGUUGACAAGCUUGAACCUGAGUUGA